UGAAAGUUUAGAGAAUAUCUCACUGGGGUCAGACAACACAUCUCUAGUGGUCCAGCCCAACCUUGCGGUCCAGUCUGUCGUACUAACCAGUAACGACAUAGUCGGCAUCCAGUUCUCUGCACAAACAGGAUUAUCUAGUAAUUUUUCUGCUGAUAGAAUUAGACUGAAUACCAAUGCGUCUGAACUUGUGUCUGACAAUGGAAAGGCCACUGAUGUCCAGAUAUUCAUUAGAUUAUCACCAGGAAUGCAGCGUCGAAGUUCUGGCAUCUCUGUUGGCUUUGUGCUCUACCAGAACGACAGGUUCUUCAGGUCAAGGGAUUUCAGAGCCCACUUGGGCAGUCGUAGAAGGGUCAUCUCGGGAAAUGUGAAAGGAGCUGGAAGGAUGGGGGCCGAACAUGUGGAAAUGAUCUUCAGGCCAAUCAAUGUCCCCAACACAACCCUCUACGACUUUGCAUGCGUGUUCUGGAACUACAACAAAAGUGAAUGGAGCACUGAAGGGUGCUCCAAAGUCAACGUUUCCUCUGAGGCCCUCAGUUGUUUUUGCAAUCAUACCACCAACUUUGCUGUG